rnacentral:rRNA from 1 species
UUGGAGGGCAAGUCUGGUGCCAGCAGCCGCGGUAAUUCCAGCUCCAAUAGCGUAUAUUAAAGUUGUUGCAGCUAAAAAGCUCGUAGUUGAAUUUCGGGGUUCUACUGUUGGUCGGGCUAUUGUCUGUACUGGCGUGUAGAAUUUCUACCUUCUGGGGAACUAUCAUGUUAUUAAUUUAGCGUGGUAGGAAACCAGGACCUUUACCUUGAAAAAAUUAGAGUGUUCAAAGCAGGCUUAUGUCUGAAUACAUUAGCAUGGAAUAAUAAAAUAGGACGGUGGUCCUGUUUUGUUGGUUUCUGAAUCACCGUAAUGAUUAAUAGGGAUAGUUAAGGGCAUUAGUAUUCAAUUGUCAGAGGUGAAAUUCUUGGAUUUAUUGAAGACUAACUACUGCGAAAGCAUUUGCCAAGGAUGUUUUCAUUAAUCAAGAACGAAAGUUAGGGGAUCGAAGACGAUCAGAUACCGUCGUAGUCUUAACCAUAAACUAUGCCGACUAGGGAUCGGACGAUGUUAACUUUUCUUGACUCGUUCGGCGCCUUACGGGAAA